rnacentral:rRNA from 1 species
AGUAAAAGUCGUAACAAGGUUUUCCGUAGGUGAACCUGCGGAAGGAUCAUUAAUGAAAUUUAUGAC